CCUACGGGAGGCAGCAGUAGGGAAUCUUCCACAAUGGGCGAAAGCCUGAUGGAGCAACGCCGCGUGGGUGAAGAAGGUCUUCGGAUCGUAAAACCCUGUUGUUAGAGAAGAAAGUGCGUGAGAGUCACUGUUCACGUUUCGACGGUAUCUAACCAGAAAGCCACGGCUAACUACGUGCCAGCAGCCGCGGUACUACGUAGGUGGCAAGCGUUAUCCGGCUUUAUUGGGCGUAAGGGGAACGCAGGCGGUCUUUUAAGUUUGAUGGGAAAGCCUUCGGCUUAACCGGAGUAGUGCAUGGGAAACUGGGGGACUUGAGUGCAGAAGAGGAAAGUGGAACUCCAUGUGUAGCGGUGAAAUGCGUAGAUAUAAGGAAGAACACCAGUGGCGAAAGCGGCUCUCUGGUCUGUAACUGACGCUGAGGUUCGAAAGCGUGGGUAGCAAACAGGAUUAGAUACCCGGGUAGUC
rnacentral:rRNA from 1 species